UGCAGCCGUGUCAAAUUCAGUACCUGUCCU
rnacentral:piRNA from 1 species